AUGUUUCUUUUUUCCUCAUGUUUUUUGCAAAAAAAAACCCCAAAACAACAACAAUGUGCCAUGGGUGAACAUCUGAUAGCAGCAUCUGGAUAUUUUGCACUGUGGGUUGGAUACUUAUUAAGCAGAGUGGAGUACCGCUGUUUGGGAAUUCGGCAGAUCGUUCCUGUAUUGUUCCAGCCAGUUUCUAAGCUCGGAAAUCCGGUAUCCCUCUGGACCCCUGCCCCCCUGGUACACCACUUUUUCAUCCCUCACGAUGUAAAGUCUCUCAAAGUAGGCUCCGUACGCGGCGUUACACGAGUUGUCCAUAUUAUCCACCACCACGUUGGUCUCCGGCACCUCAGUGAGCAUCAGCUGAGCGGCUCUAAGUCUGUCUUCCAAACAGCGAUGCUUGGGGAUCUGAUACGGCGCGUCCGAGCUCACCCAGCCGUCCGAGGGAUGCGCCUCCUCGAUAUAUACAACUAAAAAGUCCGCAAUGUCUGCGUACUGACUCACGACGCGCUGAAACGCCGUCAGACGCGUCAUGAAUGGCGGUCAGGAGCAGCUGCCAAAGUUAAGAAUGAGCGGUCUCUUCCCUUUCACGCAGUCCAGGAUUCGCACCUGCUUCCGCUCCUGGACAAGCACCACCUCGGUGUUGGGCGCAGGGUGCCCAAGGUGCGCAGAUUUGAGAAAGUCCAAUUUCUGACCAUGCCACACGGCCCUCAGGGACUCCAAGGUGAACAUCUUGUUAGAGUCAGAGACGCACACCGGCGGGUCGUCCGGGCUCUCCUGCCUCUCUCCCAUUUUCAGCAGCACUUUUUUCCUAAUGCACAAGAAAUCCAGGAGCCACAGCAUAACUGCGGCCAGAAGGAACCGGGGAAGCAGCAUCAGGCAGAGGGCUGCAUGCUUCAGCGCCUUCGCCAUUUGGACACCGCCGGAGUCGUCCAUCAUCUCUCCCCCAGCUGAUAGGAUGAGACUGUGCCGGCAAACGAGACAACUGGAAUUUAGUCACCUUUACCCAUUGGAGAAAACUAUCUGACGCACGCAGGCACUCUUUUUAUAGGUACAGCAGCGUUUGAAUAAUGAGGAGGGGGAGGGGGGGGGGACACGCCUCCGGUACCCGCACCGCCCACUCACAUGGUGGGGAUUACCUCCCGUCAACUCUGGGCUUCAAAGAUCCACAAAGACAUGGGAAGCGAGAGAGAAAGAGAUUGAGAGGUUGAAUGUUGAUAACACAUGACAGUUCUCUAUCUUCUUGGGGUUUGUUUUGUUUUUAUAUUUAUUUUUUCUUUUUUGUACUUUAUUGGGCAUAUAGGCUUCGCACGGUUGGUUCAGAAAGUAGGCAAAACAUUUGACUCACUUCAUGCUUCAGGGGCCUCUACGGCCACUAGACGGCGCUGGAUUCAUACAGACCAUCCAGGCUGGAUGAGUCAUUCGCUUCGUCUAGGGCCCCUCAACACCUUGUGAGGAAAAGGAGGCAGCAUAAACCUGCCAUCACCAGUUUCAAAACUGAAGUGCAUGUGUGUGUGUGCCUGUGAUCAUGGCAAAACAUGAUCCCAAAGACACAAACGGAAGAGGAAAUGAUCACUGUGCAUGUUUUGAGCAACAUUUGGGCAGCAUUGUGUAGCUGAGAUUAAAAUGAAGGUUCGUAUAUGGGAGCUAUGAACACUGAGUAGGCCAUGCUGAGCUGGGCUUUGGGGUUAUUGUAAGUUAAAAAUCUGUUAUUUUGUAAGCAACUUUUUGUUCCUGACUGUCUGGUCUAGUAAAUGAUGAUUAAACUAGAAAAUGAAACGUGGAAUUUACUGUAUUGUCAUACUUAAGUUCCUCGUAUUUACGAUGAUUACACAGGAAAAAAAGAAAUGUGGAAUGACUGUAUUCUCAUGCUUAAGUUCCUCCUAUUCACUAUGAUACAAAAAGGCCGAAGCAAAUCAUGUUGCCUCACCAUGAAAUUUCCUCCUCGUCUCAGGCGUUGAUGACAUGGCAUCCAUGUGACUGCUUGGAUCUGUUUCUCUGAUGCCAUAACACUCCCAGCAUGUGUCCAACCAUCAUUCCCACCCCUGAGUCUGUCCCCUUUCCUCUUUGUUUUUUAAAAACUGUUUCUUUUUUUUCCUCCUCCUACCUUUUUCUCUCUACCCCAUGGCUUGUUUCACUGCAUUGGCUGUGUCGUACACCGCCUUUAAAAACAAAUAGGAAUAUACAGUUUCUUGUCACCUACAGAAAUUUUAAAGGGGAAUCGACUAUGCUGUUCAGUAUUUGUCAUCACACAUAUACAAAGUUACAAAGUUGGAUGACCAUUUUCCUCACACAUUGGCUUCUUUUUACUGGCUCCCUGUUAAAUCCAGAAUUGAAAUCAAAAUGCUUCUCUUCACAUAUGGGUAUAGAAUAAUGAGGCUGCAUGUUAUCUUACAGAUCUCAUAGUACCGUGUCACCCUGUGAGACAGCUUGACCAAAGUGGCUGAAGAAGGGCAGGAGACAGAUGUAGCAAGUGAUUUAUUCACCAUCUUCGUGACAAAAAAUAUUUACCAAAAAAACAAAACAAAACUCAAAACCAAAGUUAACUCAGUACAAAUAAACAUAACUGAACUUAAACCAACAAAAAUUAAGGUCACGUGCACUCAGCUACACUGACCUGGUCUUUUCCUCUUGAACACCUGAGUUCUUCUGCUUAAAUACUCAGGUAUCCAAACAAUUUGUCUGGACUAUUCCAUUCAGUAGGUAAGACAAACAUUACUAUACUCAUAAACUUACGAUGCUACUCUUUACUAGCAAUAAAAACACUCUAAGGUGUAACCAAUACAUAUUACAUCAAU
rnacentral:lncRNA from 1 species